AACGAACGCUGGCGGCAGGCUUAACACAUGCAAGUCGAACGCCCCGCAAGGGGAGUGGCAGACGGGUGAGUAACGCGUGGGAAUCUACCCAGUUCUACGGAACAACUGAGGGAAACUUCAGCUAAUACCGUAUACGCCUACGGGGAAGAUUAUCGAAUUGGAUGAGCCCGCGUUGGAUUAGCUAGUUGGUGAGGUAACGGCUCACCAAGGCGACGAUCCAUAGCUGGUCUGAGAGGAUGAUCAGCCACACUGGGACUGAGACACGGCCCAGACUCCUACGGGAGGCAGCAGUGGGGAAUAUUGGACAAUGGGCGCAAGCCUGAUCCAGCCAUGCCGCGUGAGUGAUGAAGGCCUUAGGGUUGUAAAGACUCUUUCUAGUGGGACGGAUAAUGACGGUACCCACAGAAGAAGCCCCGGCCUAACUUACGUGCCAGCAGCCGCGGUAAU
rnacentral:rRNA from 1 species